CACAUGCAAGUCGAACGGCAGCGGGAAGUAGUUUACUACUUUGCCGGCGAGCGGCGGACGGGUGAGUAAUGUCUGGGGAUCUGCCUGAUGGAGGGGGAUAACUACUGGAAACGGUAGCUAAUACCGCAUGACCUCGUAAGAGCAAAGUGGGGGACCUUCGGGCCUCACGCCAUCGGAUGAACCCAGAUGGGAUUAGCUAGUAGGUGGGGUAAUGGCUCACCUAGGCGACGAUCCCUAGCUGGUCUGAGAGGAUGACCAGCCACACUGGAACUGAGACACGGUCCAGACUCCUACGGGAGGCAGCAGUGGGGAAUAUUGCACAAUGGGCGCAAGCCUGAUGCAGCCAUGCCGCGUGUGUGAAGAAGGCCUUCGGGUUGUAAAGCACUUUCAGCGAGGAGGAAGGCAGUCGUGUUAAUAGCACGAUUGAUUGACGUUACU
rnacentral:rRNA from 1 species